rnacentral:misc_RNA from 1 species
AAAAGGAAAAAAAAAAAAAAAAAAAAAAGCUCUAAGCCUAGCUCAGCAUCCACCCUUACACAGCUAACCCUGUCCACAAUCCUACCAGAAAUCCUAGGAUUACAGAGGAAAAUUACGCCGUCGUAUCUAAGGCAGACCGAAGUUCUAUUCUCCUGCUAUGCUAAACUGGAUCACUGGUGAGAUUGAAGCUACCAACAUUUGAGAGAUCUCAAAGAGACCCUGCACAACCAUUAAACCCUUGCUUCAACCCCAUCAAUAUUGAACCUUCUUCCUGAUCAAAUUAGAUCCAUUGCCAUAGCUAGGAAAGCGACGCAGUAGAGCUCUCGGUAUCUCAAUCUCAUAUAAUUUUCGGGACCAACUUCAGCAAUAGUGUAAGGCUAAUCCCGGAGAUACCAACAUCAACCCAUGCAAAUAUCUUCCCCGUCAAGAUGAUAGAAGCUUCAAAGCCCCAAGAACCACAAACAGAACUAGAGUUUUACAACCCAGCUCUUCUCAAAGCUUGAAAAUUGAUGCAGGUCUCCCGCACCAUGAAAGCUCCAUCAAGCUCAGAAACCAAAAUCGGAACCAACACUAUCUACACACCAAACUAGGAUGGGGAGGGACACCCAAACCCGAUCACCAGAAAAAAAAAAAAAAAAAAAAAAAACUCUACAUCUAUCUCUCUCUCUCUCUCUCUCUCUCUCUCUAUAUAUAUAUAUGCUCAACUUUACUCGAGAGACUAAAAUCGGAGAAGAGUUCAAGAGAAUAAUAUUUCGUGCA